GAACGCUGGCGGCGCGCCUAACACGUGCAAGUCGAACGAGAGAGGAAGAGCUUGCUCUUCUGAUCGAGUGGCGAACGGGUGAGUAACGCGUGAGGAACCUGCCUCAAAGAGGGGGACAACAGUUGGAAACGACUGCUAAUACCGCAUAAGCCCACGGCUCGGCAUCGAGCAGAGGGAAAAGGAGCAAUCCGCUUUGAGAUGGCCUCGCGUCCGAUUAGCUAGUUGGUGAGGUAAUGGCCCACCAAGGCAACGAUCGGUAGCCGGACUGAGAGGUUGAACGGCCACAUUGGGACUGAGACACGGCCCAGACUCCUACGGGAGGCAGCAGUGGGGAAUAUUGCACAAUGGGGGAAACCCUGAUGCAGCGACGCCGCGUGGAGGAAGAAGGUCUUCGGAUUGUAAACUCCUGUUGUUGAGGAAGAUAAUGACGGUACUCAACAAGGAAGUGACGGCUAACUACGUGCCAGCAGCCGCGGUAAAACGUAGGUCACAAGCGUUGUCCGGAAUUACUGGGUGUAAAGGGAGCGCAGGCGGGCGAUCAAGUUGGAAGUGAAAUCCAUGGGCUCAACCCAUGAACUGCUUUCAAAACUGAUUGUCUUGAGUAGUGCAGAGGUAGGCGGAAUUCCCGGUGUAGCGGUGGAAUGCGUAGAUAUCGGGAGGAACACCAGUGGCGAAGGCGGCCUACUGGGCACCAACUGACGCUGAGGCUCGAAAGUGUGGGUAGCAAACAGGAUUAGAUACCCUGGUAGUCCACACCGUAAACGAUGAUUACUAGGUGUUGGAGGAUCGACCCCUUCAGUGCCGCAGUUAACACAAUAAGUAAUCCACCUGGGGAGUACGACCGCAAGGUUGCAACUCAAAGGAAUUGACGGA
rnacentral:rRNA from 1 species